rnacentral:lncRNA from 1 species
ACCAGGCUGUGCUACAGAGCCUGUCCCACACCAUCGAGUGUCUGCAACAGGGAGGCCAUGAGGAAGGACUGGUGCAUGAGAAAGCCCGGCAGCUGCGACGGUCUAUGGAGAACAUUGAGCUGGGACUCAGCGAGGCCCAGGUAAGAAUCAGGGGUGAUACCAAGUGUUCCAGUUAUCUGAUGCAAGUUUGGGGUCACCUUGUCCUAGAAACUUGGAUUUGUUAAUUCAUUAAAUAUUCAUUAAGUGAC